GGCCUUUGUGUUGCCCAUUCACUUUUGGAAACUAGUGAAUGUGGUGUCAAAAAAGGCAUAAAUUAAACCCUUCUGCAGCCUAUUCCUGCCCUUGAAUUUAUUGUGUUUGGUGUAGGAACUGCAUAGGUAACAGUU
rnacentral:snoRNA from 1 species